rnacentral:rRNA from 1 species
UACAGAGGUCCCAAGCGUUGUUCGGAUUUACUGGGCGUAAAGGGUGCGUAGGCGGUCGGGUAAGUCUGGUGUGAAAUUUCGGAGCUUAACUCCGAAACGGCAUCGGAUACUAUUCGGCUCGAGGUUGGGAAGGGAGACUGGAAUUCUCGGUGUAGCAGUGAAAUGCGUAGAUAUCGAGAGGAACACCAGUGGCGAAGGCGAGUCUCUGGACCAAUCCUGACGCUGAGGCACGAAAGCCAGGGGAG